rnacentral:tRNA from 1 species
GUCGGACUGGACCAAGCACUAUCCGUCCGAGCUUUCGGGCAGCGCGUCGGGCUGGCCCGUGCGCUGGCCGCCGACCCCGAGAUCAUUCUGAUGGACGAACCCUUCUCGGCGCUCGAUCCGCUGAUCCGGCG